GGAAAAUUAGUUUAAUGUAAAACAUUAAUUUGUCAAGUUAAAGAUAUUUAUAAUAUUUUCCU
rnacentral:tRNA from 1 species